rnacentral:lncRNA from 1 species
CACCACAUCAUCUCUUCUUCCUUCCAAAACCCUUUUCUAUUCUCUCUGUGAACACAGAGAAGCUAUAGAAAUGUCCAUCGUUGCCGACCUAGGAGGUUGUACUCAUGCUUCAAUGUUUGACCCAGCUCUCAUUUCUUCUGCUAUUGGAUGAUAUGGGCGAUGGCCGACUCAUCAACUUCUUCAAUGUCUCUCAUCUCAAACAAAUCAAAACCCUAAUCCCUCACCCACCACCGCCCUCAUGUCUCACCUAACCACCACCAUCGUUCGCCGCCAAGCCACACCAGUGGAGAAACCGUGACAACUUGAUGAACGGUUGCUUCGGAGCAGACGCAAAGAUAACUUUUAGGGUUCAUAACCUCACUUUAUGAUAUAAUUAGCAACCUCCUGAUGGGCGAUGGGGGUGUGACUGCUCUUUAUUUGACUGCGGGUUUUAUGUGAGAUGUGUGGUUUAAUGGAAUUAAUCUAAACCACACAUCAUAUUACAUCUACAAACUAAGAGAUGAAAUGGUUUCAUCAUUUCACAAGGAGAUACUAUACACAAAAUCAGCUGCACAUAACGAAAAAUGCAUUUUGGGUGCAUUAGUGAGUUAACAAACCGUGAAGCAUAUUGCGCACCUCAUCCAGUUAAUACAGCUUAUGUCUUUAUGUUUGCUUAUUCAUUGUUAACAAUUGCCUAACGAUUACAAAACCUCCUACUUUUUAAAGUCAUUUAUUGGGUAUUUGAUGUUAGUCAAGAGUUCGUUCGAUGUGUUUGAAUUGUUCCUGUAACAUAAAAAGUACCCACAACGAAGUUAAAAGGUUCAUUUGAU